rnacentral:tRNA from 1 species
GGAGAGAUGGCAGAGUGGUUGAAUGCGGCGGUCUUGAAAACCGUUUAUCCUUUGGGAUACCGGGGUUCGAAUCCCUGUCUCUCCG